rnacentral:rRNA from 1 species
GACGAACGCUGGCGGCGUGCUUAACACAUGCAAGUCGAACGGAAAGGCCCUGCUUUUGUGGGGUGAUCGAGUGGCGAACGGGUGAGUAACACGUGAGUAACCUGCCCUUGACUUUGGGAUAACUUCAGGAAACUGGGGCUAAUACCGGAUAGGAGCUCCUGCUGCAUGGUGGGGGUUGGAAAGUUUCGGCGGUUGGGGAUGGACUCGCGGCUUAUCAGCUUGUUGGUGGGGUAGUGGCUUACCAAGGCUGUGACGGGUAGCCGGCCUGAGAGGGUGGACGGCCACAUUGGUACUGAGGUACGGCCCAGACUCCUACGGGAGGCAGCGGUGGGGAAUAUUGCACAAUGGGCGGAAGCCUGAUGCAGCAACGCCGCGUGCGGGAUGACGGCUUUCGGGUUGUAAACCGCUUUCGCCUGUGACGAAGCGUGAGUGACGGUAAUGGGUAAAGAAGCACCGGCUAACUACGUG